UCUAAUGUGGCAGAUUAGUGCAAUGAAUUUAAGCUUCAUAAAUAAAGCCACAACUUUUGUUAGAAA
rnacentral:tRNA from 2 species